UAAAUGCGAUAAAUACCGUGAACUGAAGACAUUUUGAACGGAAAGAUUUCGAACGCACAUUGCGCCUUAGGAGUCUCAUCCUUUGGCACAUCUGAUUCAGGGUCGCUUUCCGAAAACGCUAGCUAGUUGCGUUUAAAGCAUUACCGGAUCACUGUCAAGCGAGAUGACAUUGUGUUCUGGUAUAGUGGAAAUGCGAUUAAAGGGCACUAGUGUCGAUGGUAUCGUUUGCUAGUAGAGCCGUCCGGUGGUAGUGCUUCUUGCAUUUCGACCUGAAUUCAGGUGUGAUUACCUGCUGAACUUAA
rnacentral:misc_RNA from 1 species